rnacentral:hammerhead_ribozyme from 1 species
AUCCAACUGACGAGUCUCAAACAGGACGAAACUCACAUCCUGGAU